GCUUAUUCAAAAAUUGACGGAUGUUGCUGAAGAAUGUCAGAACAAUCAGCUGAAGAAGCUCAAAGAAAUCUGUGAGAAAGAGAAGAAGGAAUUAAAGAAGAAAAUGGACAAAAAAAGGCAGGAGAAGAUAACAGAAGCUAAAUCCAAAGACAAAAGUCAAAUGGAAGAGGAAAAGACAGAGAUGAUCCGGUCAUACAUCCAAGAGGUGGUGCAGUACAUCAAGAGGGUA